UACGAAGGGGGCUAGCGUUGCUCGGAAUCACUGGGCGUAAAGCGUGCGCAGGCGGUUUUUUAAGACAGGCGUGAAAUCCCCGGGCUUAACCUGGGAACUGCGUUUGUGACUGGAAGGCUAGAGUAUGGCAGAGGGGGGUGGAAUUCCACGGUGUAGCAGUGAAAUGCGUAGAGAUGUGGAGGAACACCGAUGGCGAAGGCAGCCCCCUGGGCCAAUACUGACGCCUCAUGCACGAAAGCGUGGGGGAGCAAACAGG
rnacentral:rRNA from 1 species